rnacentral:SRP_RNA from 1 species
GCUAUUAUAACAUAGUCUGUGAUGGAGGCUGUCCAGGCCCGAGCAAGCUAUUAUAACAUAGUCUGUGGUGGAGGCUGUCCAGGCCCGAGCAAGCUAUUAUAACAUAGUCUGUGGUAUAGUCUGUGGUAUUAUAAUAGCUUGCUCGGGCCUGGACUGCUUCCACCACAGACUAUGUUAUAAUAGCUUGCUCCC